CAAUCUUUUCCUCAUGUCUUGGGCAGUGGGCAGUGUUGGGGCAUUCAGAUGCAGCCAUUUUCAAUAACUUUUAGAAUGAUACUUUGCUGUACUAGAGAGUCAGUGCAAAGCAGUUUGUUAUAUUAAGUGCAUGUAGAUAAACCUUACGUAGUUAAGUUUGACUUAAAAUAUCUAGAAUGUCAUUUUCUUCUGCGAUAGUUCUAAAAAUACAGCAUAUACCAACUUGAAUCAUUAAAAGAAAAUGAUAGGCUAAAUUGCCAAGUAAAGUGCAAAAUGAAGGAGGUAGCUCUUUAUGAAACAAUGUAUCAAGCUUAAGGACUAAUUUAGAUUUUUAAUAUACAAAUAAGAAAGUUAGUCCACAGAACCAGAAAUAAAUUCAAGGAUGGUAUGCCUUAAAUCUUCUGAAAGACCUGAACUGUGUUACUGUCAGAGUUUAUCCCAUCUGGUGUGCAGUGACUUCCCCCACCUACAGGUUAGUGCUGGCAUGUAUGUGUCUGUCCUCCCCCGCCCCACAACCCUAGGCUGAGUGAUUCUGUGAACUGCUUACCAUAUUGUUUAUGUUGCUUUGCACUGGAAAUUGUAAAGUGCUGCCUUACAGUUAGUAAGGGAUAACUGUGUAGCAGGAAACUAGACUUGUGAAAAAUUUGGGAGUGAAAGCUCCCCAGAAAAGAUAAAACAAGUCACUUGAAGGUUUUUCUGCAUAUGGCUUUUUUUUUUCUCUCAUGAGAUGUUUGGUGGGUUCCAGAGAGUAGGGCCCUUAGUGUAAUUCAACAACACGCUAUUUGCAGAAUCAGAAAGGGCAACAUGGGGAGUGUGUGGAACAGGCUGCCUGCCCCUUCUUGACUGCCCUAGUUCAGAAAAAUGUAGUAACUGCAUUAGUGGGGUGUUCCACUCCUUUUUUUCUGCCAUAUGAUCCUCUGCAGAUACACUGCACAGCCAAGUAAGGUAACAUUAUUUUGAAAUGUAUUGCAGUUUUCCUUUAAGUCUCGAUGACUUCCUGUUCUUUUCAGAUAUUCCAAUGAGAUGUUACAAGAACAUUACACCUGAAGUUAUAACAAGAGAGGUCUAGGUAAACUUGCAAGUUAGUCAGAAUGGAGUUCAGCUCCAUCUCUGGGAGUAAUCACAGUGUACAUACACUCAUUUCCUGUUGCUUUGGGUUUUCUCUCUCUCACAUUUUUUGAAGUAGCUUGAACAUGAAAUUUGCUUGUUUGAUAGAGAAGACUGGUGGGUUACUCAGAGUUCAGGCUGUAUUUCAUGCACUGAAUCACUGGGUUCUUUUAUCUUUUCAGAUGACUCAACUCACUUUCAACAGAAUAGCUCAACUGUAAUAAUUGAUCCUUUCUGUAUUGAGAAGGUGUAAAGUGUAUCUCCUCGUAUUUGGAUUAUAGACGUUCCUGUGUAACCUGCCCUAGGUGACCCUGUCUUAGCAAGGGGGUUGGACUAGAUGAUCUCCAGAGGUCCCUUCCAACCCUAACAAUUCUAUGAUUCUGAAAUAUUCAUGAAUACCACAAGGUUUGCAUUUAAGUGAAUAUUAAAUGUUGCUAAUCUUGCCCAAGACUUAACUAUAGUAAUUUUACUAUGCAAGAUAAAAUUGAUGUCACAUACUGAAAUGUGAGCACACAUACUUUGAUGUCCUUUAUCUUCUGUUUCUCAAAAUUAUCAAUAGUUUCCUCUAAUUGCCGAGUUGUUCGAGUAGCAUCCAGUGUUGCUCUCUGCAGUUCACUUUCAGCCUGGUAAAGUGACACCAAGGUGAAAUUAGUCUUGUAUUUGGUACAAAGCUAUUUGCUCCAAUUGCCAUGAAAACAUUGAAGUCUGGUUUUUCAAAACACCACAUAUCUGUGUUACAGUAUUUGUAAAUCUGUAGCUUAAUAAACAUAUAAAGCUGUCUCCUA